rnacentral:rRNA from 1 species
AUGGCCGAAUGCUUCAAUAGGGUGCUCAAAGGUUCAUGUGGAUUACCCGUGACGACAAUAUUUCAAUACACAUUUGACAAGAUGAAUGCGUACUUUCUAAAGUACUCGAUGGAAACUGAUGCAGAGAUAGCGGGUGAGAACCCGCGCAAGUACAAGUACAAGUUCCCACCCAAGGUUGAUGAAUGGUUAGAAUUUCAAUCACGGAAGGCGGACUCAGAAGAAGCAAUAUUAUAUGACAAUGAAGAGUGGAAGUACGAAGUGAAAGAGACAGGAGGAACCACAAACGAUGGCCGACAACAUGGAGGUCGGGCUUUCAAGGUGUCGUUAACACAAUGUGAUUGCUCUUGCGGGAGGCCAUUGUUGCUUCAUCUCCCAUGCUCACACUUGUAUACCGCCGGUCGCGUUAGAAAUGUGGACAUCAAUCACCCACGCACCGUGAGGGAGUUGGAGUUCUCAAUCAUGACGGUCAAGAAAACAUGGGCUCCCCGGUUUCACCCAUACUUUGAUCAAUCACAAUGGCCGGAGUACCAUGGAGUUCAACUAUGGCCGGAUCCG